UGAGUACGAGAUGCUACGGCAUCGAAGCAGUCUAUGUCAUACUUCCAAGAAAAGCUUGCACUGUCAUAAACAAAGAAUGCCUGUACCAUAACCGACACAGGUGGGUAGGUAGAGUAUACUAGGGGCGCGAGAUAACUCUCUCUAAGGAACUCGGCAAAAUGACUCCGUAACUUCGGGAGAAGGAGUGCCUUAUUUCUAAGGUUGCAAUAACAAGAUCCAAGCAACUGUUUACCAAAAACACAGGUCUCCGCUAAGUCGUAAGACGAUGUAUGGGGGCUGACGCCUGCCCAGUGCCAGAAGGUUAAAGGAGUUGGUUAGCAUUAGCGAAGCUGAUAACUGAAGCCCUGGUGAACGGCGGCCGUAACGAUAGCGGUCCUAAGGUAGCGAAAUUCCUUGUCGGGUAAGUUCCGACCCGCACGAAAGGCGUAAUGAUUUGGAUACUGUCUCGGAGAGGGGCUCGGUGAAAUAGACUUGUCUGUGAAGAUGCGGACUACCUGCACCUGGACAGAAAGACCCUAUGAAGCUUUACUGUAACUUGAGAUUGAAAUUGGACUUUAUUUGCGCAGUAUAGGUGGGAGGCGUUGAGAAUAAUCUUGCGGGAUUGUUGGAGCCAUCAGUGAGAUACCACUCUUGUAAUGUUAGAUUUCUAACUUUGUAUCAUUAUCUGGUCAAAGAACAGUUUCAGGCGGGCAGUUUGACUGGGGCGGUCGCCUCCCAAAGGGUAACGGAGGCGCACAAAGGUUUCCUCUGAACGGGUAGAAAUCGUAUCUAGAGUGUAAAGGCAUAAGGAAGCUUGACUGUGAGACCUACAAGUCGAGCAGGGACGAAAGUCGGUCUUAGUGAUCUGACGGUGCUGAGUGGAAAGGCCGUCACUCAACGGAUAAAAGUUACUCUAGGAUAACAGGCUGAUCUCCCCCAAGAGUUCACAUCGACGGGGAGGUUUGGCACCUCGAUGUCGGCUCAUCGCAUCCUGGGGCGGUAGUCCGUCCCAAGGGUUGGGCUGUUCGCCCAUGAGAGCGGUACGCGAGCUGGGUUCAGAACGUCGUGAGACAGUUCGGUCCAUAUCCGGUGUAGGCGUUAGAAUAUUGAGAGGAGCCUUCUCUAGUACGAGAGGACCGAGAAGGACAUACCUCUGGUGUACCAGUUAUCGUGCCAACGGUAAACGCUGGGUAGCUAUGUAUGGAGUGGAUAACCGCUGAAAGCAUCUAAGUGGGAAGCCCACCUCAAGAUAAGUAUUCUCA
rnacentral:rRNA from 1 species